UAAGACCUAUAAGACUUUACCUUAUAUCUUAUGAAUGCAACCCAAACACUUUAAUUAAGCUAAGGCCUU
rnacentral:tRNA from 1 species